UCCUCUAGAUUCAGCGGCGGACGGGUGAGUAACACGUGGGCAACCUGCCCUGUAGAUUGGGAUAACUCCGGGAAACCGGGGCUAAUACCGAAUAAUCCUUCGGACCUCAUGGUCCGAUGUUGAAAGGCGGCAUCUCGCUGUCACUACAGGAUGGGCCCGCGGCGCAUUAGCUAGUUGGUGAGGUAACGGCUCACCAAGGCCACGAUGCGUAGCCGACCUGAGAGGGUGAUCGGCCACACUGGGACUGAGACACGGCCCAGACUCCUACGGGAGGCAGCAGUAGGGAAUCUUCCACAAUGGACGAAAGUCUGAUGGAGCAACGCCGCGUGAGUGAAGAAGGUUCUCGGAUCGUAAAACUCUGUUGCGAGGGAAGAACAAGUACCGGAGUAACUGCCGGUACCUUGACGGUACCUCAUUAGAAAGCCACGGCUAACUACGUGCCAGCAGCCGCGGUAAUUCAAGGGC
rnacentral:rRNA from 1 species